rnacentral:snoRNA from 1 species
GGUGCAGGUGAUGAUUUAAAGCGACCAAAGCCUGAGAGUUUCUGAUUAUAACUUUUUUUAGCAACUGAUGUACC